GACGAACGCUGGCGGCGUGCUUAACACAUGCAAGUCGAGCGGUAAGGCCCUUUCGGGGGUACACGAGCGGCGAACGGGUGAGUAACACGUGGGUGACCUGCCCUCAGCUCUGGGAUAAGCCUGGGAAACCGGGUCUAAUACUGGAUAUGACUCCAUGACGCAUGUUGUGGGGUGGAAAGCCUUGUGCGGCUGAGGAUGGGCCCGCGGCCUAUCAGCUUGUUGGUGGGGUGANGGCCUACCAAGGCGACGACGGGUAGCCGGCCUGAGAGGGCGACCGGCCACACUGGGACUGAGACACGGCCCAGACUCCGUACGGGAGGCAGCAGUGGGGAAUCUUGCGCAAUGGGCGAAAGCCUGACGCAGCGACGCCGCGUGAGGGAUGACGGCCUGGUGU
rnacentral:rRNA from 1 species